rnacentral:rRNA from 1 species
CUACACGGGUAUCUAAUCCUGUUUGCUCCCCACGCUUUCGCGCCUCAGCGUCAGUAUCGGGCCAGUGUGUCGCCUUCGCCACUGGUGUUCUUCCGAAUAUCUACGAAUUUCACCUCUACACUCGGAGUUCCACACACCUCUCCCGAACUCUAGGUGCCCAGUAUCAAAGGCAGUUCCAGGGUUGAGCCCUGGGAUUUAACCUCUGACUUAAACACCCGCCUACGCGCCCUUUACGCCCAGUAAUUCCGAGCAACGCUAGCCCCCUUCGUAUUACCGCGGCUGCUGGCAC